UCAAGAUUUUUCCGUUACGUUACGAUUGAAUCAGAGUUUCGCCUGAGAAGAAGACGAACCCUAAUCCGCUGAUACUUUCGUCGUGUUUUUCAUUGGCUCAGUUGGUACAUGAUUUUUUCACCAUAAUUUGUCAGGAAAAUCGGCAGUCAGCUAACUCGAAAAUGCCGUGUAAGAAAAACCGCCUCUGUUUCCUCCGGUCAGCUUCUUCCAUAAGAGGAAGCAUAUCGGCGAGUGCGGAGAGAAAAAACAGAGGGCUGAUGGGUAUUACGCAUAAGAGAAACGCCACCGUUGAAGAUAAGAAAAUUUCCAUGGCCGCAGCUUCAGCCAUUAAUGGCAGCAGAAGGAAAUCACUUGGAGGGAGGACAUCACUUGGUGGUUUCGGGGUUUGUUUGUGUUACGGCCCCCUGCUGAUCAAUACUGAUCACUUCUUAUCAUUGAGAAUGAUUUUGUGUGUAGCAUGAAGCUAUGCAGAAAAGCUAAAAGCUUUUCAAAAUAUAAGGAGAAGCUGAAAAAUCUGGAGAUUGACAGAGAACGUGUUGCCUCUGAUUCCAUACAGCCAUUGACUGAAACUUUAUUAGCUAGCUUGGAAGCACCGACUCAAGAAGACAAGCAUUAGGCUCACAAGCCAAAGAUCCUAAGCUGAGUCAGUCAUGCUUAUGCAUUUCUCUGCUGUUUUAACCUUUAAACAUAUACAUACUUCAAAACUCUAACUUUUUGUGCAAUUCACUAUGAUAUGUGCAGCUCAUUUUUAAGGCACAUUUACCUAUCUACAUGGACACUAGAUCAGAGAACCAACCAGAGUCAGACAAGUCAAACCAGAGUUUGGUUCUUAUCUCAUGCUUGAGGCAGCACACAGAGGAACGAAGAAAAUAAUUCCUUAACUGGAAACUGGACAACACAAGGUUUUUAUCGACAAAGAAGAAUAUAUAGAGUAAGUGAGAAUAUCAAAGUUAUCUUCUUACCCCCUUUUCACCUUAGAAUUGAGCGGGAAGAAAGAUUAAAACAUCUCAUCAUCAUCAAAUUCUCUGCCGUUUGAUGAUGACCUUGAGAUUAAGGAGUAGUUACAUGAAUCAAGUUUCUGUGGAGGAUGAUGUGGUCUACAAUGCAGUGGUUGAAGUUUUAGGCAGAUCAGUUGAAACUAUUAUAUACUAUUUUGUAUGUAUCUCAAACAUAUUUCAAUUUCAAACAAUAAUAUAUUCAAAUAUAAAAUUUAGCU